rnacentral:rRNA from 1 species
AGAGUGAACGCUGGCGGUAGGCCUAACACAUGCAAGUCGAACGGCAGCACAGUAGGAGCUUGCUCUUACGGGUGGCGAGUGGCGGACGGGUGAGGAAUACAUCGGAAUCUACCUUUUGGUGGGGGAUAACGUAGGGAAACUUACGCUAAUACCGCAUACGCCCUUCGGGGGAAAGCCGGGGACCAGCAAUGGCCUGGCGCUGAUAGAUGAGCCGAUGUCGGAUUAGCUAGUUGGUGAGGUAAUGGCUCACCAAGGCGACGAUCCGUAGCUGGUCUGAGAGGAUGAUCAGCCACACUGGAACUGAGACACGGUCCAGACUCCUACGGGAGCAGCAGUGGGGAAUAGUUGGACAAGUGGGCGCAAGCCUGAUCCAGCCAGUACCGCGUAGGUGAAGAAGGCCGUUCGGUUGUAAACGUCCCGUUUUAGUA